GCUGACGGCGUGCAUAAUACAUGCAAGUCGAACGAGCGAUGAGAGAGUGGCAACACUUUCUCAAAGCUAGUGGCGAACGGGUGAGUAACGCGUGGGUAAUCUGCCUCAAAGAUUGGAAUAACUCCUUGAAAGAGGAGCUAAUACCAAAUGUGCUAUUUUAAUUGCAUGAUUUUUAUAGCAAAGGUAGCCGCAAGGCUUCUGCUUUGAGAUGAGCCCGCGUCCUAUUAGCUUGUUGGUAGGGUAAAAGCCUACCAAGGCUAUGAUGGGUAACCGGUCUGAGAGGAUGUUCGGUCACACUGGGACUGAGAUACGGCCCAGACUCCUACGGGAGGCAGCAGUAGGGAAUAUUGCGCAAUGGGCGAAAGCCUGACGCAGCGACACCGUGUGAAGGAUGAAGAUCUUCGGAUUGUAAACUUCUGUCAAUUGGGGACGAAGGUACUAGUGUUAAUAGCUCCUAGUAUUGACGGUACCCAAUAAGGAAGUCUCGGCUUACUCCGUGCCAGCAGCCGCGGUAAGACGGGGGAGGCAAGCGUUGUCCGGAAUUAUUGGGCGUAAAGAGCGCGUA
rnacentral:rRNA from 1 species